CCCGCUUCUCUCUCUCUCUCUCUUUCCUGCUCCGCCGCGGUGAGACGUACUUGCUUCUCCUCACCUUCUACCGUGAUUCUGGACUAGACAGAAGACUACAGUUCAAUAAGAAGGAAACACAUUCAUUUUCAGUAUUGUUAAUAAAGAAGCUUACCUAAAAGAAGGAAAUCAAAACAAGAUAAUCUACACUGCAACUAGGGGAGGCUAUUGAAUGUGAUGGUCCCCUCAGAUGCCUAGAGGAAGAUGAACAAUGGUAAUCAGAUAUCCUAAAGUUAUCUUUAGGGCACUGGCAAAAUAGCAGCAAUGCCUGGUGGAAGCUGACUUUGUGCAUACACAUGAGAGCCCACAGAAAACUUCAAACUUCAUGGAAAUAAAACCUUCAGCUGCAGCUAAGAAUUUGGAGGUUACUGAAGGAGGUUACUUUUUCAAGAGCAGAAGUAAGGAUUCCACUGAAUUUGCUCACCAAAGAUAAGUCAGCAAAGAAAACUUACUGAAGAAUACAGGAACAUAAAUCUUAAGCAGGCUUACAUAAGGAAGGGAAGUGGUUGAAUCUGAGGUAAUUCCAUGGUGGACUUUGAAGAAAGCCUUCCAUGAGUUCCCAGUCCAUAUCCUCCAAAAGACAGCAUAUCAGCUCCUGCUUUCCAGACAAACUUCCUGGGUCUUGGGAAGAAGAAAGCCUCAGACUAAGAACUCUCUCUGGACUCAGACAGCCUGAAUUCAAAUCCCAUCUCUAUUCUUACUAGUCAUAUGAACACAGGAGAACCAUAUCCAUUCAGCUCACUUUGGACCACCUGUGGAGCCUGAUAACCAGGGAACAGAGAACCUGUUGAGAUCCAAAUUUGUGUGCCAGAUCACAAACUCAUCUGAAGCAGAUGCCACGUGUUACACUGUUAUGUCUCUCAGAGACUCCAGCACUUUGAAAGAGAUGACGGUUCCAUGCGUGUUAUUGCCCCUGAAGACCUUCCAGUGGGUCAAGAUAUGGAGGUGAAAGACAGUGAUAUUGAUGAUCCUGACCCUGCGUAGGCCAAGUUUUCUUGACUUCACUUAAUCUGCUGGAAGCUGAUCCUUUUCAUGUCCAUGUUUAAGGAAGCGUUGAAGGUCACGUCACUCAAAGCCAACAUCAGCAGGCAUCCUACCAAGAUAAUCUCUGAAGAGGUCAGAGAGUCCCCGAGAAUUCACAUGUUGAAGCCGUUACCCACCAUGUGACUGUUUUGGGAGACAGAGCCUUAAAAGAGGCACAAUUAUUACAAUUUAUUGUGGACAGGAAAACACAUGGAUGUUGAAUACCAGUUCCUGUGAAAGAUACUUGGGUUUCGGGAUAACAACAGUCCCAAGUCUUCAGAACAAAUCAACAGAAUUCAAUCAAGUAUUUCCUUGCACUUACUUGUUAUGACUUCUUAGUCUCUCCAGUCUGUGACAGUUACUCAUUUUCUCCCUGAUACAAGGACUACAACACUUUGGAAGGUGCUUGUCAGAAAUUUAUUCUCCUUAUAUACAUUCCUACACACAUGUGGAUGCUUUUAUUGAAACCAGUUCAUAGGUAUGUUUGUAUAAUCUUUAUACACAUAAAAUAUAUUUUUUUC
rnacentral:lncRNA from 1 species